AUUGCUUCCUGGCCUUUUAGCUAGGAUCAAGUAUAGUUCUGUUUUCAUAAGUCUAAUGUCGCAUGUAGCCUCUGUUUGAAGUAUAUAAAUGGAGUUUUGGAGCAGAGAGAUAAAAUGGAGGCCUGCUCCCUCAACCCCCAUACCUCACUUAUUGCGAUACCUUCAGGAAUGGUGCACCCCUU